GAGGGUGCAGCUCAGUGGUAGAGCGUGUGCCUAGCAAGCACGAGGUCCUGGGUUCAAUCCCCAGUAUCACCA
rfam:Camelus ferus unplaced genomic scaffold scaffold287, whole genome shotgun sequence.